rnacentral:rRNA from 1 species
GGUUAAGCGAAUAAGCGUACACGGUGGAUGCCUAGGCAGUCAGAGGCGAUGAAGGACGUGCUAAUCUGCGAUAAGCGCCGGUAAGGUGAUAUGAACCGUUAUAACCGGCGAUUUCCGAAUGGGGAAACCCAGUGCAAUUCGUUGCACUAUCAUUACCUGAAUACAUAGGGUAAUGAAGCGAACCGGGAGAACUGAAACAUCUAAGUACCCCGAGGAAAAGAAAUCAAACGAGAUUCCCCCAGUAGCGGCGAGCGAACGGGGAGCAGCCCAGAACCUUAAUCACUAUCAGCAUCAGGAGAACAGUCUGGAAAGGCUGGCCGCAGCAGGUGAUAGCCCUGUAUCCGAAGGUGUUGGUAGUGUGAGUUCGAUGAGUAAGGCGGGACACGUGUUAUCCUGUCUGAAUACGGGGGGACCAUCCUCCAAGGCUAAAUACUCCUGACUGACCGAUAGUGAACCAGUACCGUGAGGGAAAGGCGAAAAGAACCCCGGCGAGGGGAGUGAAAAAGAACCUGAAACCGUGUACGUACAAGCAGUGGGAGCACCCUUCGGGGUGUGACUGCGUACCUUUUGUAUAAUGGGUCAGCGACUUAUAUUCUGUAGCAAGGUUAACCGAAUAGGGGAGCCGCAGGGAAACCGAGUCUUAACUGGGCGAAUUAGUUGCAGGGUAUAGACCCGAAACCCGGUGAUCUAGCCAUGGGCAGGUUGAAGGUUGGGUAACACUAACUGGAGGACCGAACCGACUAAUGUUGAAAAAUUAGCGGAUGACUUGUGGCUGGGGGUGAAAGGCCAAUCAAACCGGGAGAUAGCUGGUUCUCCCCGAAAGCUAUUUAGGUAGCGCCUCGUGAAUUCAUCUCCGGGGGUAGAGCACUGUUUCGGCUAGGGGGUCAUCCCGACUUACCAACCCGAUGCAAACUGCGAAUACCGGAGAAUGUUAUCACGGGAGACACACGGCGGGUGCUAACGUUCGUCGUGAAGAGGGAAACAACCCAGACCGCCGGCUAAGGUCCCAAAGUCAUAAUUAAGUGGGAAACGAAGUGGGAAGGCUCAGACAGCCAGGAUGUUGGCUUAGAAGCAGCCAUCAUUUAAAGAAAGCGUAAUAGCUCACUGGUCGAGUCGGCCUGCGCGGAAGAUGUAACGGGGCUAAAUUAUGCACCGAAGCCGCGGCAGCGAUAUGUAAAUAUUGUUGGGUAGGGGAGCGUUCUGUAAGCCUGUGAAGGUGUGCUGUGAGGCAUGCUGGAGGUAUCAGAAGUGCGAAUGCUGACAUAAGUAACGAUAAUGCGGGUGAAAAACCCGCACGCCGGAAGACCAAGGGUUCCUGUCCAACGUUAAUCGGGGCAGGGUGAGUCGACCCCUAAGGCGAGGCUGAAAAGCGUAGUCGAUGGGCAACGGGUUAAUAUUCCCGUACUGGUGGUAACUGCGAAGGGGGGACGGAGAAAGCUAAAUCAUCCGGGCGACGGUUGUCCCGGUUUAAGCGUGCAGGUGGACUGACCAGGCAAAUCCGGUCGGUUGUUAACACUGAGGCGUGACGACGAGCCACUACGGUGGUGAAGUGAUUGAUGCUCUGCUUCCGGGAAAAGCCUCUAAGCUCCAGGUUACCAUUAAUCGUACCCCAAACCGACACAGGUGGUCAGGUAGAGAAUACUCAGGCGCUUGAGAGAACUCGGGUGAAGGAACUAGGCAAAAUGGUGCCGUAACUUCGGGAGAAGGCACGCUGGCAUUAGGUGAAGUGGUUUACCCACGGAGCUGAAGCCAGCCGCAGAUACCAGCUGGCUGCAACUGUUUAUUAAAAACACAGCACUGUGCAAACACGAAAGUGGACGUAUACGGUGUGACGCCUGCCCGGUGCCGGAAGGUUAAUUGAUGAGGUCAGCCGCAAGGCGAAGCUUCUGAUCGAAGCCCCGGUAAACGGCGGCCGUAACUAUAACGGUCCUAAGGUAGCGAAAUUCCUUGUCGGGUAAGUUCCGACCUGCACGAAUGGCGUAAUGAUGGCCAGGCUGUCUCCACCCGAGACUCAGUGAAAUUGAACUCGCUGUGAAGAUGCAGUGUACCCGCGGCAAGACGGAAAGACCCCGUGAACCUUUACUAUAGCUUGACACUGAACAUUGAGCCUUGAUGUGUAGGAUAGGUGGGAGGCAA